AGUGAACGCUGGCGGUAGGCCUAACACAUGCAAGUCGAACGGCAGCACAGUAAGAGCUUGCUCUUACGGGUGGCGAGUGGCGGACGGGUGAGGAAUACAUCGGAAUCUACUUUUUCGUGGGGGAUAACGUAGGGAAACUUACGCUAAUACCGCAUACGACCUACGGGUGAAAGCAGGGGAUCUUCGGACCUUGCGCGAUUGAAUGAGCCGAUGUCGGAUUAGCUAGUUGGCGGGGUAAAGGCCCACCAAGGCGACGAUCCGUAGCUGGUCUGAGAGGAUGAUCAGCCACACUGGAACUGAGACACGGUCCAGACUCCUACGGGAGGCAGCAGUGGGGAAUAUUGGACAAUGGGCGCAAGCCUGAUCCAGCCAUACCGCGUGGGUGAAGAAGGCCUUCGGGUUGUAAAGCCCUUUUGUCGGGAAAGAAAAGCAGCAGGUUAAGACCCCGCUGUUCUGACGGUACCCAAAGAAUAAGCACCGGCUAACUUCGU
rnacentral:rRNA from 1 species